UUCCAGUCCAAACAGGAGUGUGUUUGCCAAGAAUUCCGGCUCUCGCCUUGACCUCUCUGAAGCAUUUGGAAGUGUUGACAUUGUUGAAUUCUUUCUCUUUCUUGAGACGGUCUCCUCCCUUUCCUCCCACGGAAUUACUCAUUUUCUUACAAAUAUUUAUUGAAUACUUGAUAUGGGCCAGGCGGUGUUCUAGCCCCCUGGGAUACAUCGGUGAAAGGAAGCAGACAAAAACCCCUGCGCUCCUGGGGCUUACAUUCUGGCCGGGGGAGGCAGGAGGCGGAAUAAACAGAAAGUGUAAGAAAUAAGUUACGUGGUAUUGAAGGUGAGAAGGACCACCGGAAGGACAACCCAGGCUGAGAGGUAUGAAGAGUUCGGGAGGGCGCUGGGCGGCCUGUGGUGGCUCUAAGUCUCACGGUGAAAAACGUAAAUGGGCACAGACUCAAGUGAGAGAAAGUUUACCACCCCUGGCCGAGAAGCCACGAGGGCAAGUAUCAUCUUACAAAGCACCGGCUUCAGGUGAGACCUCCACGUCACCUUGGGGCAAGGGGAGGCUACGAAAGCACCGAGAGGGCCAGGGUUCAUUGUGGAAUAAUUAAAACCCGCACAAAAGCAAAGAGAAAAGGAAAAUCAACCCCCAUGAGCGCAUCACUCAGCUGCGGUCAUGAUUAACUCAACCACUCUCGUUUCGCCCACACACUCCCCGGAUCCCUGGAUUAGUUAGACCGUAUCACUGUGGUGCUCUUCUAAAAGUAUCGAUUCCUAAGCUACUCCCUCUGAAUUUUCUGAUUCAGUAAGUCAGGACUGGGGUCUGAGAAUCUGUAUGUUUUUAUCAGUUCCUCGGGUUUCGGAAGCUAUAGCAUAAAGAAACGAACAUGGGAUCUACAGCAGGCAGGUCCUAGUAUGAGUCCUGGCUUUGCCCAAGCUAUGCAACUUUGGGUGAAAAUUCACAGUUUUCAGACUUUUUGUCUCGAAGAACCACCACCUCUGUCAACCUGUGGUCCACUGAGACUGUCUGAUCGUUUUCAUGUUAAAUAAAUGUGAUCAAACCUAGUA